UCCGAGGUUGGAUCCUUUGCACCCACCUUUAGUCCUUAAACGCACCGUCAGCCUUCAAACGUGCGCUGUUCACCAUCAUAACCACCAGAGGGCGCUGAUCAUGCAAAGAGAAGAGCAUUUCAGGUGGAAAGAAUGAGUCCUGAGAUAAACCCAGGCAUUUGGCCUGGUUUUACUGUAAAAUAAAUAAAUAAAUAAGACAAAAUCAUGGUCACUGAGUUGAAGUUGUUGUGUCAGGUAUCAUCAGGUGUGGAGGAAACCGUUUUAUGGAUCCAUCAGUGAAAAAGAAGAGUACAGAAAGGAAAUACGAGAGCAGCUGAAGAGGCAGAUGGAGGAGAAGUCCGUGGAACUGAAGCUGCAGCUGGCUAGUAAAAUAAAAGAAGCAGAGCAUCUCAUAGCGGUGGAACGCCUCGCCCUAUCUAGUGAGAGACAGCAGCGAAUUCAGCACACCAAAGCAAUGACAGUCUACAGAGAUGAGAACAAGAGGCUAAUGGAGCAGAGCAGGAGGGACAGAGCACUAACACAUUCCCAGGAGGCCCUGAAGGAGAGAGAGCUGCUGCGCCUUAACCCCAUUAACUGGA